rnacentral:rRNA from 1 species
CGUAGAGAGUUGACUCUGCUCAGACACGCUGGCGGCGUGCCUAAUACAUGCAAGUCGAGCGGAUGAAGGGAAGCUUGCUUCCCGGAUUCAGCGGCGGACGGGUGAGUAACACGUGGGCAACCUGCCUGUAAGGCCGGGAUAACUCCGGGAAACCGGGGCUAAUACCGGAUAACUUCUUCUUCCGCAUGGAGGGGGAAUGAAAGACGGUUUUGGCUGUCGCUUACAGAUGGGCCCGCGGCGCAUUAGCUGGUUGGUGGGGUAACGGCCUACCAAGGCGACGAUGCGUAGCCGACCUGAGAGGGUGAUCGGCCACACUGGGACUGAGACACGGCCCAGACUCCUACGGGAGGCAGCAGUAGGGAAUCUUCCGCAAUGGACGAAAGUCUGACGGAGCAACGCCGCGUGAGUGAAGAAGGCCUUCGGGUCGUAAAACUCUGUUGUCAGGGAAGAAUCCGCAGCGGAGCAACUGCCGUUGCAUUGACGGUACCUGACGAGAAAGCCACGGCUAACUACGUG